rnacentral:rRNA from 1 species
UAUCUCUGUAGAGUCUGCAUAUCAAUAAGCGGAGGAAAAGAAACUAACUAGGAUUCCCUCAGUAACGGCGAGUGAAGCGGGAAGAGCUCAAAUUUGAAAUCUUCAAGGUUCUACCUUGACGAAUUGUAGUUUAAAGAAGUGUUUUCUGUUGGAGUUUUGGUAAAAGUUCUUUGGAAUAGGACAUCAUAGAGGGUGAGAAUCCCGUAUUUGGCCAUUUCUUCCAGCUGUGUGAUACACUUUCAAAGAGUCGGAUUGUUUGGGAAUGCAGUCCAAAAUGGGUGGUAAAUUUCAUCUAAAGCUAAAUAUUGGCGAGAGACCGAUAGCGAACAAGUACCGUGAGGGAAAGAUGAAAAGAACUUUGAAAAGAGAGUUAAACAGUACGUGAAAUUGUCAAAAGGGAAGCGUUUGACACCAGUGUUGUUUUCUCGAAAAUCAAUUAAAAAUGGCCGGAUUUUGUGUUGUAUUGACUUUAUCAGCUUUCUGCACUUUUUUCUUGUCUUUUUUAAUGCACUUUUCGUUUAACAAGUCAACAUCAAUUUCUUUUGUUGUAAAAGAGUCAUUGGAAGGUGGCUUUCACUUCGGUGAAAGUGUUUAUAGCCUUUGACUUCUGCAAUCGGAGAGAUUGAGGUCUGCAGCGUAGAUCCUUCGGGGUUAGAUACAUUUGUGCUAAGUUAUAGUUUUUCAUAGACAACAUUGUUGACUAUGAUUAAGUCAUGUAGCUUACUCGCUUAUGCUAUUUUACCUACGCUUAGGAUGUUGAGUAGCGACAUACGCAC